GCCGAAGUGGUAAGAAAAUCCCUCGACUCGAAAUGGUCGUGCCGGUUCAAUUCCGGCCUCGGGCACCA
rnacentral:tRNA from 1 species